rnacentral:rRNA from 1 species
AGUUUGAUCAUGGCUCAGGAUGAACGCUAGCGGCAGGCUUAACACAUGCAAGUCGAACGGUAAGGCCCCUGCUUGCAGGGUACACGAGUGGCGCACGGGUGCGUAACGCGUAUGCAGCCUACCUCUAACAGGGAGAUAGCCCAGAGAAAUUUGGAUUAAUAUCCCAUAACACUUUUAUAUCACCUGAUAUAAGAUUUAAAGUUCCGACGGUUAGAGAUGGGCAUGCGUGACAUUAGCUAGUUGGUGAGGUAACGGCUCACCAAGGCAACGAUGUCUAGGGGUUCUGAGAGGAUGAUCCCCCACACUGGUACUGAGACACGGACCAGACUCCUACGGGAGGCAGCAGUGAGGAAUAUUGGUCAAUGGACGCAAGUCUGAACCAGCCAUGCCGCGUGAAGGAUUGACGGCCCUAUGGGUUGUAAACUUCUUUUAUAUGGGAAGAAACCCCCCGACGUGUUGGGGGCUGACGGUACCAUACGUAUAAGGACCGGCUAACUCCGUGCCAGCAGCCGCGGUAAUACGGAGGGUCCAAGCGUUAUCCGGAUUUAUUGGGUUUAAAGGGUGCGUAGGCGGGUUUGUAAGUCAGUGGUGAAAUCCCGAAGCUCAACUUCGGAACUGCCAUUGAUACUGCAAGUCUCGAGUACAGAUGAGGUAGGCGGAAUAUAGCAUGUAGCGGUGAAAUGCUUAGAUAUGCUAUAGAACACCGAUUGCGAAGGCAGCUUACUAGACUGUUACUGACGCUAAGGCACGAAAGCGUGGGGAGCGAACAGGAUUAGAUACCCUGGUAGUCCACGCAGUAAACGCUGUUACUCGAUGUUGGCGAUACACAGUCAGCGUCCAAGCGAAAGUGAUAAGUUA